rnacentral:lncRNA from 1 species
AUCCUGGGCUUUUGCUCCAGGAACACUGAUAUCCUCUGAGCAUAAUGGGCUUGGUCCCUCUUUGGGUGGGCAUCCAGUGAUCAGUUCCUUGCUCCUUCAGUCUCUUACUCACAAGGCCUUUCACAUCUCCCACCAAGGCCUAUUUGAGCUACAGAGUCACCAAGCCCACUGAGUGUUCUUCUGAAGGGUUCCUUGCCUAGGAUUCUGCUUCCACAGCCAUAACCACAGUCUGGAUUUUCAUCAUCUUGCACUGGAUUUAUAGCAAUUGCUUUCUAACUGGACUCCAUAAGUGAUCCCACACAUAACCCCCCAACUAUUUUUAAGAUAUGUAUAACCUCUCCUUGUACACACACAUGUAUUCUCCAUCAGCCUAAAAAUCUAUAAGGGUUUCCUAUUACCAACCCAUUGCAUUUAAACCUUGUCUGUGAUCCAAGGACUCUAUAUCUAGAAUCAGACCCCUCUCUCACUUGAUAACUUCCUUUUCCUUCCUGUGUGGGUACACCCCCUCUAAAUGGAAAUGCAAAUCUCCUCUGUGCUUCUCAAUUAUAGCUUGCCAAGUCUUACCCUAUAUUGUGGCUCUUACAUAUAACUUUUUUUUGGAAUGUUCCUGUUUCCCUUUAUCAGUUCAAGCUUCUGUUUUCUUUAAAACUUUACUCAAAGCCCCCUUCCUUCAGAAGUUUAUCCCACUCUGAAUAAUACCUUAUUAUAGUGAAAGUAAUAAUUACAUUCUAGCUAUUAAAUAACUAUUGCAUACUAGAUACUCUGCUAAUAAAUGUGCUAUUAUUGUCUUACCCUUGCAAAGACCUAUAGAGGCAAGUAGUAUUUUUCUUAUUUACAGAUGAGGAAACUAAACCUUAGAGAAGUUAAGUCAUAUACACAAGUUCACAUAGUAGGGAAGUGCCAGAGUUGAGAUUUGAAAUCAUUGCUAUCAGGCCCUAAAUUUUAUACUCUUCCUUCCUAGAAUAUCAUGUAACAUGUGUACAGUUUUGUUUAAGAGUUUUCCUUGAAAAUGUUUUCUUUAAACUAUGGAAUAUUUUUCAAGGGCAAAAUAUGGUGCCUACUGAUACUAGUUAGCCAACAACUAAAACUCUCUCUAGCUACCAAGGAGAAAAUCUGUUAGCUGGAUCAAUACAGAAUUAUCUGAAAGCCUGUAGAACUAGGCUCAGAAAACCAGAAAGACCAAAGCAAAGUAAGGCAAAGAGACAUAUAGCCAAGGUCCUUGCCCCAGGAAUAGUCUGGUGAGAAAGCUACUGAGAACACGACAGCCCGGUUGUUUGAUGGCACCCCUGCUGAAUGAAUGACCUCUCUCGCUAUUCCUCCUCCCUCAAUCAUUCCCUCUGGAUUACCUCAUGGCUGAGCCAGAGCAGGGACCAGAGAAGAGGAUGUCUCACUUCUUUAAGCUUCUGAAGAAAUAAGUGGAGGGCCCUGUAUCCACAAAGACUUACUCUAGGACGGUUGUGAGAGUUUGGAUUUUUAUCUCAUAAAUAUUCACUUUUUUUUUCCUUUCCUUUAUGGGCUUAGCCAUGCAACUUGCUUUGACCAAUGGGAUAUUAGCAGGAGUGACUUGAGCAAAGGCCUGAAAUAAUCUACAUCGUGAGCCUUGCCCUCUAGGCUGCCACCAUUGCCAUGAAAAGGACAUGCCAGGAGAAGCAGCCUGAAUCCCAGAAUGAGGACCUGUGAAGCUGAACCCCCACCCCCACCCCAGCUGACCCAUGGUCCCACAGUCAAGACAGAGCUGCCCCAGCUGAGCCACAGAUUGAUGACAACGAUUCACAGGAGCCAGUGGAGGAAGCCAAGUCCCCAGAAGAUGGUAGAACCACAUCUUCUAGGAAAGAACCUGGAUCCCUAAAUAACUAUGUGGAACAGAGCCCUUGCUGCAACUUGCAAUUAACUGUGAUAUUAGCAAGUUAUACUAGUUAAGUAUACUAAGUUAUAUAUAUACUAUGUUAAGUCUUCAAGGUUGUUUGUUGCAGUCAUUAGUAUUAUUUGCCCUAGUUAAUACAUGGUCAGAGAUUAUUAGGUAGGGAAUAACAGACUUUCUCUAAUUAUGUAAAUUAAAUAUUCAUCUACUUCAGUUUUGAUGUUUGGAUCUUUUCAUCUUCCCAGUUCUGAAACCUAUCUUAGUCAUUAGCAGUGAUUCUGGCCAAGGGUGGGGCUGGUGGAAGAUAGAGGCAUCAGGGUAGAUGGAGCCCUCAGACCCAAAUCUUUAUAAAAGCUACACAUCUCAUUCUUUGCCUUCUCUUGCCCAAUACCUGAUGAAAACUUAGAAAGCAGAGCUAAAGUAAAAGGUGAGAGCAGAAGAGAAACAAUGGCAAUGACACCUAGACCAAUUUUUCCUUGGAUUGACCCAGAAUUGAUGGAAUGAGGGAGGCUUAGAUGUUGCUGCCUAUGCCUAUGUAACAUCCAGAAUUUUGCUGCCUUCAUACCCUGAACACAAAAGCUAGCCAGCCACAGGCUAGAGAUGUUACCAUGUUAAGGGCAAGACUAUAGAAUUCUUGCCCCUGCAGAAUAAGCCGUCAUUGAGGAAAGACCAUAGAUAGUAGCAGGACAUUCUCUGCUCUGGAGAAGACAGAGUCACUUUCCGCAUAGCAUAAGGGGCUCUACAUUCAGGAGAGGCUGAGAAAUCAUGGUGAUGAGCUGAGUUAAAUAAAUGGGUGGCAAACAUCUGACUCUCAUUUGUAAAUGAUUCUUGAGCAAGGAUUGCAAACUCAAAGGCCUCCCCAAGGCUAGGCUUGGACAGGAAAUACAAAUGUGUAAAGAAUGUGAGGUGUUUUCCUUUGUAUGUUAGACUUGGUUUUUUACUUCCCCACUUUCUAUAGAAAUGUGGACUCGGGAAUAUUUCACCUUCCUCUAUAUUUUAAGGAAAACAUCCACACACACACAAAAAUGAAAAUGGCAGCGAUGCACUCAUUUCCGUAGGGAGGCAUUAAGGAGUAGCAGAGGCUGUGGCAAAGUAAAGAGCACACGACCUCCUGAUGUAGCAGGUCCUGCCCUGGGGACCAGCAGGAUUUAAUCUAUCUGGGAUGAUGAGCCCAACAUUUCUGAAUCUUUAGUUUUUUUCCAUAAAAUCUGGACAUAGAAAAUACACUAAACUAUUUUUAUGUGAUACCAUAUAUAUAUAUAUAAGACAUUAUGUGAGCUAAUAUUUUGUAGGUGAAACAGAACAACUCUAUAGAUUUGAUUGAGCUGAGAAGCUGCCCAUUUUCAACCUCUGCCAUACAAGCUAAUCCAGCCUUAGUGACCUCCAUUUCUUGGUAAGGGUGCAGAUAAGGUGAAAGAAAACUGGAAAUAUUCCUUCUCUACAAAGUUCCUAGGACCAGUUUUAUGAUCUGGAACUUGUGUGACUAUAGCAGCUCAAAAAAUGUAAUGCAAGUCAUAUACAUAAUUUCAAGUCUUCUAGAAGCCACGUGAAAAGACUAAAAAGAAACAGAUACAAUUAACUUUAGUAAUACAUCUUAUUGAGCACAAUAUAAUCAAAAUAUUUCAAUGACAUGUUUUACACUCAUAUGUUUUUACUAUAUAUACUUUUUUGAAAUCCAUACUUUUUUAUCCUUCAGCACAUGAUACUUUAGACUAGCCACAUGUCUAGUGUUCAGUGGCCACAUGUGGCUGCUGGCUUCUGUAUAAGAUAAUACAGGUCUGGUGCUGCUUUAGGAGGACAUUAUACCUGGGGUUUGAACAAACAACUCACAGGAAUCAUUGAAUGCAGUUCUUUCAAAGUGUGGUCAUUCACAAUAAAGAUUUCUGAGAUCUCACCUUCAAAGGCUGUGAUUUGGAAGCUCAGAGAUUAAGGCCGAGAAAUUGGCAUUGUUAAUGGGCAAUCCCAUUGGUACCAAGACAAGGUGAAAUUUGAGAAACACUGCCUUCUGGCCAUGGCAUAGACUUUGUUUUGUAUUUAUUAAUGUCUUUUGGCCUGAAUAAUUUUAUCAACUCAGAAUAAACCAGAAGUUGAUUAUUGCUAUGGAAUCAGAGCCAUGGUUGCUAUCAGCCAAUAAUUAUUAAAUCUCUCUUCCACCUGUGCAGUCUGAAGCACAUCAGGGCAACUCUCCCUCCUGGAAUAGAUUCUCCAUCUGAAACAAAAGCGGUGGCCCUCACCUAGUGCAUUGCUCCUCUUGGGGAUAAACCCUCUAUAAAUGGAAGUUUUGAGGCUGCCCUUUCUCUCUUGGAUUCAUCAUUAUGGUUUCUGAGCUUCAAAUCUUGACUUUUUUUUUUUUUUUUUAUAUUUGGUGGUGCCUCCAGGAUACAGAAUUUCCUGGGCCAGGCAUCCAAUCCGAGCUACAGCAAUGACAAGGCCAGAUUCUUAAUGGCUGGGCCACCAGGGAACUCUACCAUUGUUUCAUUUGGACUGCAAAUGGACAGGGCUACAUUUUAGUUGCUAUGCCUAGAUUCCCUGGUAUAUUUCUCCACCUGGAUAUUUUUGACUUGGUACAAGAUGUGGAAGGACAUCAGAUGACCAAGAGCCCCUGUGUGACCAAACUACAGAGGUGGAGUCCCAGAAUCACUCUGCCCAGCCCCCCACGCACGUUCCUGCUGGAAGCUUACAGCCAAAUUUCCAGGCCUGCCCAUACAGCGCUUUCUUUGAGGGUGGAGGAUUCUGGUAUCCCCUUUAUCCUGGGACGUUCAGAAGCUUUACCAACUAUUUGAAAGUAUUACAGCACAGUAUCUUAAGCAAUUUUUUAAAUGCUUUGUCACUAAUUCCCCAGGGAGAGAUGACAGGUGAUUUUAAAUAUUUGACAGUGAGGGAAAUGAAAUCUGCCUGAGCCCCUGCCGGUGGUGGAGCAGGGGGAGGAAGCAGCGUUGGCAGCAAAGGGACCGGUUCCAGGGGUGCUGUGGGGGAGGGGGAUGCAGCCCUGGAUGUUGGCCUGCUCCUUCCACUUUCCUCCUCUCUCCCCUCCCCCUCUUCCUGUUGCUACUCCUACUUCCUGUUAUUAUGUAUCUUCCUGUCAGUUUCCCCGUGGCGCCCCACCCCCUACCCCAGUCAGGUCACAGGAAAUCUAAGCUCCUGAAAGACAAUUCUAUGAUACUAAUUACAUGUCUGGAAAAUGAUGCCCCAGUCUGCAGGUGGUACCCGCUAACAGCAAUCACUAUUACUAUUAUUAUUGUUAUUGUUAUAUUCUCACUGUAGCUUUCCAGGACUGAAUUAUCUUCCUUUGGUUUUGUUGCCAGGCUUUGUGUGCCUUCAUUUGCUUUUUGAUAAGGCAUUUUUCUUAUUCCUGUAUGCCUCCCUUUUUAUUCUUUACCCAGAGUUAAAUGUAGCCAAAAGAAUGCUCAGAUAGAUUAAGAGGCUCAGGAAAUAAAAGGUUGCUUUCAAUCCAAGCAGCAUUGAGUGACAGAAAUAUUAAUGAAAGGUGUGACAUUUUAAUGAUGUUCACACAAAUAUUUGAGGGCCUAUUAUGUGCCAGGCACUCCUCCAGGUUCUGCAGAUACACCAGUGAAUAGGACUGAAAAAAGUCUGUCCUUCUACUGCAGGAGGCAGACAAUAAAUAAGUUAUAAGCAAAACAUGUACCUGAGGUGAUAAAUGCCAUGGGAAAGGAGGGAGAGGGCAAGAGAGGGCUGGUGGGUGGUUGCGAUUUUAAUUAAGGUGUUUGGUAAAAACUUACUAAGUGACCUUUGAGCAAUGUUGACACCUUGGGACUUAAAAAACUCUUUUGCUUAGUAAAGCUUAUAAAAAAUGAUAGUAGAUGGACUUUAUAGUCUUAAAAUGUCACAUAUACAGUCGCUAAAUAUAAGCUUGUUCCUGGAAGACACCACCCCACUCUUGGAUUUUAUGACUUUGACCAUUUUAGCUCUCUAACGUCAAGUGGAGUAAUGCAGUAUUUAUUUUUUCUGUGACUGACUUCUUUUCCUUAGGAUAAUGCCCCCUACAUCCAUCCAUGUCACAAAUGGCAGAAGUUCCUCCUUUUUUAAGAAAGAAUAAUAUUCCACUAUAUGUAGCUGCCAGUUACUUUAUUCAUUCAUCCGUUGAUGGACAUUUAUGUUGUUUUCACAUCUUGGCUAUUGUGUAUAAUACUGCAAUGAACGUGUAAGUGCUAAUAUCUCUUUGAGAUCCUGUUUUCAAUACUUUUGGAUAACUACCUAGAAGUGGGAUUGGUGGGUCACCAGGUAGCUCUAUUUUUAAGUUGUUGAGGCUCUGUCAUACUGUUUUCCAUAGAAACUGUAUAACUUUGCAUUCCCAUCCAUAGUGUACAAGGAGUUUCUUUUCUCCAUAUCCUCACCAACACUUGUCUUUUUGGGGGGGGGGAAUAAUAGGCAUCCUUACAGGUAUGAGGUGAUAUCUCAUCAUGGUUUUGCUUUGCAUUUCUCUGAUGAUUAGUGACAUUGAGCAAUCUUUUCAUAUACCUAUCAGCCUUUUGCAUAUCUUUCUUGAAGAAAUGUUUACUCAAAUUCUUAGUCCAUUUUUAAAUCAGGUGGUUAGGUUUUUUGCUUUUUGCUAUUGAGUUGUAAAAGUUUAUGUAUUUUAGAGAUUAAGCCUGUAUCAGAUAUAUAAUUCACAAAUAUUUUCUCCUAUUCUGUGGGUUGCUUUUUCACUGUCAAUUGCUUCUUUUUCAAUAAAAAAAAUUUAAAUUAA